UUUUAUCCAUAGCGCCAUUCAUACUUUUCCGUCCAAUAAUGUCUUAUCAUUACAAUUAUUUUUUUUUGGUGUGUGUAUUUUCAGAGCCAUCUUCUUCCCGGAAUGGGGAAACGGGUUGAAAACAAUGGUCCGAAUGGAGAGUCUGCAAUGGUUCGAAGGUAAAAUCUUUUGUUUUCAUGUCGCAAAAUGGUGGACUCACGAAAUUAGAUGGAGGAAGGACGACCGUCCAGUGGAAAGAUAUAACAGAGGAGUAAAACCGGUGGACGAUGCUGAUAUCGAAGAAUUGGACGAAUUAGACAUUCUGUCAUAUUACUCUAUAAUUUUGUAAGUUUAUAUUUAUUGUAAAACAUUUUAACCAUUUUGGUGAUUUAAAUAGAAUUUAAUAUUAUUAUUAUCA